CACUACCUGCGGGAGCAUGAGAACCAGAGGCCAGCUCACAGCAGCUACUGGGGAACCUCUGUGACCCUAUGUCCCGCUCUAUGCUCCUCCUCUACCUGACACUAAUGUGCUCCUAGAGACGGGAGGUCACCGGCCACCUGUACCGCCCCCUGCUGCUGACAGUAUUUUGGGUGGGUUACUAUGGUGCGAGUGCCGGGCAGGAGGCACAGGACACAUGCCCACUGUCAGCGCCCGUCAUAUGCUCCGGAGACCCGGCCCUAGCUAUAGGCAACUGCCUAUGGCAUCGGGAAAUCCUAGGGGCAUCUGGGCAGGCAGAGCACAGCAUACUACUGUCAGUGUCAGCACAGCUGUGAAAGUGAAACUACAGAGGAGUCCGAUCAGGGGGCGUGGCUACACGGGUCACUGCUGCCUUCUGUGCAAUGUGGGAAACUGAGGGGAGGAAUGGCUCUGAGCUGCUGUGUGCUCCUGUAGUGAAUACUGAACAUUGUGAUAUGCUGCCAUGUAAUUGUGAUGUGUUAAGGGCCGGCCUGACUGUUACAUCGCGGAGAGUACCAUAUGUGGAGGGUGCUGCCGCUGCCUUCUCAUCUCCUCCCGAGGUGUGAUUGCACCCCUGCUGCACUGCCCCAAGAGAGAGCCUGGAUCACAGGGUGAGAAACUGGACAAAUGGCAAAACUGUAUCAUCUAACAAUGUCACAUAGUCCACCACUUUCAUGCAAUUUGACACCUAAACCAAUGGUCCAGCUCCAGCACUCAAAAUACACCCACAAAAAUUAUGCUUUCACCUCAUUUUUGCACAGCUCAUUGGAUACAGUCUGGUUGUAACGCUUCCCCAGCCCUCCACAUGACUCUGGAGCAGCCAUCAUUAGAAUAUAAGCAACAUCUUGAUUCAUCAGGCCAUAUGAUGUGUCUUCACUGUUCUAUGGUCCAGUAACAAUGCUGUUUGGCCCAUGUUAGACGCUGUUUCUUUUGGAUGGUUGUUAACCUGGGAGGCACCCGGGCUAUACAACUGAAAAUUUCUAACACUGUGCAUUUUGCACCGAAGUACUCAUUCUGAUAUGGUUUGGUUAGGUCCAGCAUUGUACUGUUGGAGCAGUUCAAGAUGCAUUUGGAACUGAUUGGUGGUUGCUAGAAACCCUAAAUGCCUGCUGUCCCGAUUUAUCAUGAUCAGCUUUCGGACACUGUUCCGCUGCUGAGAUGAUAGGGGUCCAUGCUUUUUCCACUGUAGAUGGAUACUGCUCACUGUCUUCGAGGGCACACCAUUAAAUGCUGCCACCUCCACCAAGCUAUGGCCAUGUUCUCGGCCAAAAACAUAUAAAUAUACAUGAUGAUGAUGAUGACGACACCAUUUAGCUAUGUAGCUAUUUUUGUACUGUAUUGAUGACUACUGUAUACUGAUAAAGCUGAUGUGUUAUUUCCUUUUGGAAAACGUUACAUCAGUAAAGAAGAUCUUCUAUUGUACUGUAGUUAGGAAGCAGUAAAUGACAGAUGUGAGGAAGAUGGUGGGGUGGUUUGCAUUUAAUUAUAUUUUGAAUGGAAAAUAUGACUUUCUGGAUUUAUAUUAUUAAAAUCAUGUUC